GGCCCGGGCUUGGCGGUCGGUCUAGCGACUGUUACUUCCGGUCUGGCCUUUCCUUCUGGGGAACUUCAUGCUCUUAACUGGGUGUGGGAGGGAUCCCAGGACUUUUACUUUGAAAAAAUUAGAGUGUUUAAAGCGGGCGUUUUUGCUUGAAUACAUUAGCAUGGAAUAAUAGAAUAGGACUUUGGUUCUAUUUUGUUGGUUUCUAGGACCGAAGUA
rnacentral:rRNA from 1 species